UUCCUGUUUCUGCAAAUCAAGAGUUUAUCUACCUAUACUUAGCAAAAAACUAACCCUGAAUUUGAAGAUGUACAUUUGAUAGAGGAAUGCAUGACUUCACAUGGUUCAAGUGAAGACAGUGAAAAAUAGCACUGGCCUUUCAUUCCCUCCCUCCUCUACUUGAACGUCUGGGAAAGGUUGCUAUAACAAAAUAUCACAGAGCAGGUGACUUAAAUAAAGAAUCGAAAUUCACUUCUCACAUUCUGGAGUCUGGAAGUUCAGGAUCAGAGUGCCCAAGUGGUCAGAGAUGCAGAGAGAGAGAGAGGCAGAGACACGGGCAGAG